rnacentral:misc_RNA from 1 species
CAACAAAUGUAAAGGAGGUGAUCCAGUGUCAAGAACGGUAUUGGAGCGGGGUGUCGGAACAGCUUGGGGGGUCUCCUGCUAGAGCAGCCUCUGGCGGUUGAAACCAACCUGAGUGGGUCACCGAUCUAACCGAUCCCACCUCCUUAAACCCUUCGAUUGGGCCGUUCCUUCACAGGAGCGGCCC